rnacentral:rRNA from 1 species
AACGCGAAGAACCUUACCUGGGCUCGAAAUGUAGUGGACCGGGGUGGAAACAUCCCUUCCUAGCAAUAGGCUGCUAUAUAGGUGCUGCAUGGCUGUCGUCAGCUCGUGCCGUGAGGUGUUGGGUUAAGUCCCGCAACGAGCGCAACCCUUGUCGUGUGUUGGUCCACAAGAUCUCUCACACGAGACCGCCGGUGACAAGCCGGAGGAAGGUGGGGAUGACGUCAAGUCAGCAUGGCCCUUACGUCCAGGGCUACACACGUGCUACAAUGCGCGCGACAGCGAGUCGCAAACCCGCGAGGGUAAGCUAAUCUCUUAAACGCGCGCUCAGUUCGGAUUGAAGGCUGCAACUCGCCUUCAUGAAGUCGGAAUCGCUAGUAACCGCAGAUCAGCUACGCUGCGGUGAAUACGUUCCCGGGCCUUGUACACACCGCUAGUC